UCGUAGUCCAGCUAAAGACCAAGAGCUUGUUAAUGAGCUUGAACUUGUGGCUGCCUUCAGAUUGAAGUCUUUCGAGUUGUAUUUAGUCAAUAUUUAUUUUUAAAAAUUCAUUCAUUUAGUUAACAAUUAAUUUCUAUACUCUACACACAUAAGCUCUGGGGAUUUUUUGUACAAAAUUUCCAAGUCAACAUUAUAUUCGCUUGUAUACAUUUAUCUCACAAAUUUCUUCGUAAUUGUUUUCGUUUGGACUUUGAUUUUAAUGAAGUUAAAUUUCGUUAAUUAUGGUUUUGCUUUCUUGGCCCCAAGUUAAAUUAUUUAACGGCAAUUAGUUGAUUUAUGUUAAUUUAAUCUAAUAGCUCUUGACCUCACAUUAUGCACGGGUCUCGUUUGCCGAAAAGGCGGCCCACAUAGGUGUGUAUACGACUAAGCCGCCUCUCUUCAUGUAUGCGUGUAUCUGUGUGUAUCUCUUGCAUGUGCGUAAGUAUUUGGGAACAGGUUUCUUGGCCAGCAUUCAACGUGUACGUGAACAGCCACAAACAACUGGAAGUCCAGGCAAAUGGUCCGUUCGACAUUCGAUCUGCAUGAGUACUUGCAUAGAUGCUGCCAAAAAUGUGUAUCAUAAGAUUUAAGACCCAAGCCUUUAAGCUCACAUUCCUUUCACUUGCCCAUCUAAUUAUCUGGUUAUGCAGAGGGCAUCAGAUUGUCGUCACGCCUCGUUUUGCAAUGCAAUCCAUCUUGAAAAGUGAUUUCCAUGACGUUUCCCUGCUGCUGUUGCCACAGUAGGCGGAGGAAGGGAGGCCUGCCACAUGGAGAAUUCGUUGGUUUUUCUU